rnacentral:lncRNA from 1 species
UUUGCUUCUUUGUGUCGACGAUGUUAAGAAUUGCAUAAUCGGUCUUUCCCGGUUCGUUUUGAAUGGUCGGCUGGGAACACUAGCGGUGAAGAAGCUCAAAAGAAUGGAAGACGGACAAGUAUCACUAAUCCAUGAUGGCUACCAAAAUCAGUUGUCGCUCAACUUUGUAUUACGCUAUUACCCGAACGUGGAUUACUAAAU